rnacentral:rRNA from 1 species
CCCUUAGAUGUUCUGGGCCGCACGCGCGCUACACUGACUACUUCAACGGGUUGUUUCCUUGAUCGAAAGGUCUGGGUAAUCUUUGAAAGGUAGUCGUGAUGGGGAUAGAUCCUUGCAAUUUUCGAUCUUCAACGAGGAAUUCCUAGUAAACGCAAGUCAUCAGCUUGCAUUGAUUACGUCCCUGCCCUUUGUACACACCGCCCGUCGCACCUACCGAUUGAAUGGUCCGGUGAAUCUUUAGGACUGUGGCUGAGGCCUUGCCUUGUGCGGGUCUGGCCGUGGGAAUUUAGUUAAACCUUACCAUUUAGAGGAAGGUGAAGUCGUAACA